rnacentral:lncRNA from 1 species
CGCGUACUGAGUCAAGAUCAUUAGGAAGCCCAACAAGAGUAAGAACUAGAAACAGCUUUUGUUGUUGCUCUUGCUGCUUUGCAACGCUAGCAGAACCUGGCAUCAACGUCUCAAAUUACUCCAUAACUGCCUGCACUUGACCCAAGUAAGUAUACAUAUCUAAUUCCUGUUUCUUUAAAUUUGUCAUCCGCGAUAUCACAUCAUAGAAACGAGAUAUGUCAUUAGUGUAUAAAGUACGAGCCUUUUCCCAAACNNNN